CGGCGGGGGCCGGCGGGGGCCGGGGGCCGCCCCCGUGGAGCCGCUCGGCGGAUCAUGUGCAGCUCCUCGCCGCCGCCGCUCGCAUGCGGCGCUCGGCUUCACCUUCAGGGCGGCGGGGGGGCUUCCCCGCGGAGGAAAGCGGCCGAGGAAGAGGUGAUCUAUCCUAUUCACUAACGGAACACACUGAAAUAAAUUGGUGCUUUGGACUCUCUUGAGCAGCUGCAAGGAGAAACGUUACCCUGAGAAUGAAGCUGUAAAACGUCUCCCUGCAGAACCGUAUGAUUGAAAACGCAGUCCAGCCCUCCUCUGCUGCCGGACAUGCUUCUGUCCUCCUGCCCCUCUCACCCAAUGUUGCAGUAGUACAGAUGGAUCGCAGCAGAGAGGCAGAAAUGGAGUUACGGCGAUCCUCCAGCCCAGGGAAGCUGAGCAAGAACGACAUGGAUGCUGACAAGACCAUGUGCCACAGCUGCUGCAUCUGCGGUAAAAGUUUCCCUUUUCAGAGCUCCUUAUCUCAGCACAUGAGGAAGCACACGGGUGAGAAGCCCUACAAAUGUCCUUACUGCGAUCACAGAGCUUCCCAAAAGGGCAACCUGAAGAUCCACAUCCGUAGUCACAGGACAGGCACUUUAAGUCAGGGACAUGAGGUGGAGAUGGGAGAGGCGCAGCUGGGUGAGAUGGGUGUUUCGGAGGGUCUCGGUGGCUGCACCAGUCCCACCAAAAGUACAUCUGCCUGCAACAAGAUCUUGAAUGGCACUGCUCAGGUAGACAGCAGCAAGAUCUUGUUGAGAAGCAGCAAGAAGGAGGUUGCAGAGGUGGCACCUGCUGAGGAGGAUGGCAAGCUAACCGCUUAUCCAUGCACCUUCUGCAAAAGCAAAUUCGAAAGGAAGAAGGACCUGGAGCAGCACCUGCACCAGGUCCACAAACCUUUCAAGUGCAGGUUGUGUAGCUACAUGACCUUGAGGGAGGAGACAUUAUUAAAUCAUGUAGAGAAGGACCAUAUAACUGCUCAGGUCCCGAAUGGGGAGGCCUAUGCUGAGAACUGCAAGAGCGAGCUGAGCGCCGGCGAGUUUCCUUGUGAAGUUUGCGGCCAGGCCUUCAGUCAGACCUGGUUCCUGAAAGCUCACAUGAAAAAGCACAGGGGCUCGUUUGAUCACGGCUGCCACAUUUGUGGCAGAAGAUUCAAAGAGCCCUGGUUUCUCAAAAACCACAUGAAGUCGCACGGCCCGAAAGCUGGGAACAAAAACAAACUGAAAAAUGAGCUGGAGCUCAUAGCCACUAUCAAUGACGUGAUACAGGAGGAAACGAUUGUGACGGGCCUGUCUUUGUACGAAGUCUGCACCAAGUGUGGAAAUCUGUUUACAAACAUGGAAAGCCUAAAAGCGCAUAAUGCUGUUCACUACCGGGCUCAGCGGAGCAGCACCGGGGAUAAAGCCGAAGGCUUAAUUGACGGGAGCCUGAGCCCCUCAGUAACAAAGCAGUUUUUCUUGCAGUGUCUCAAUCUAAGGCCAUCUGUAGGGCUGGAUAGAGUUACAAGGGGACAGACUGGAAAAAGAGUAGCCGAGCUGGAUCCAGUCAGUAGCUACCAAGCUUGGCAGCUGGCCACCAAAGGAAAAGUAGCAGAGCCCUCCGAGUAUGUGAAGUAUGUGGGGUGGGAUGAGGCUCUGGCGGACGCGGACGUGACUUAUGACAAGGAUAAGAGGGAGUACAUCCUCGUCAACCAGGAGAAGCGCAAGCGGGAGCAGGAUUUGCCCAGCUCCUCCAGCAACCCCAAGAAGAAGAGUUGUCCCAGUGGGCGCCCAGAGAAGACGAGCAGUGCCCCGACAGGGGAAAGCUGCCCGCUCACCCAGGGUGACCUGGACUACCGUCCCUCCUCGCGGCAGGGCAGGCGGGCGACCCAGAACAAGUCCACCGAGUGCUUUGAGUGCGGCAAGGUCUUCCGCACCUACCACCAAAUGGUGCUGCACUCCCGGGUGCACCGCAAAGAGCGGAGGAGCUGCCGUGAGGGGGGGACGGCUGCCCAGCCCGACCGCUAUGGCUCCAGCAGUGAGGAAGGGGACUCGGGCUCCGUCAGCGGGCCCAGCACGCCUGGUUCCGCGUCUGCCCCAGAGGACUCGGCCACCUCUGGCUUGGGGGAGGAAGGGGCCGAGGAGAGCUCAGAGGAGGGAGCAGCUGACCCAUCAAUAGAUGAAAAGCCAUACCACUGCAAUUUUUCUGAAGAGGAAACCCCUAUGGUAACAUCUCAGUUGGAGGAAAUUCCGAAGCUGGGAAGCCGCAACGCCAGAGAAAACGAGGCCAGUGAAUCUAAGCCAGAGAUUCCAGCUUUGGUGUCACUGGAGAGUGUCAUCAAGGAGCCCUUUUCGAAAUACCACGAUCUGAAAGGUUCUGUAGACGUAAAGAUGCCAGCAUUUCACCACAGCCAAGGGCUUUCUUGCUCCAGUCACUUCGCUGGCUUUGUUUCGGGUGUGGGCCAGCCAUCUUCAAACAUGGUCAUGGACUUGAAAACGUCACUUGAAGUGCAAGCUAGUCGCUCUAGAGAAAAUUUGCUAGACUUACACAGGGAGCAUCCUCUAAUAGAAAAAGGUGCUGAAGCUCACGAGGCAGCUCCACUUGAUUUGAGUGAAAAAUCAACAAGGGAUAAUUCAUGCAAUAAAAAUUUGAAUACAUCCUUGCAGGCUGCUUUAAUUAUCUACCCGUGUCCUUUCUGCAGUCACAAGACCUACUACCCCGAAGUCCUGUGGAUGCACAAAAGAGUUUUGCACAAAAUCAGCUGUAACUCAAUGGUCCCCCCUUGGGUUCAACAGAAUGGAUUCAAGAGUAUUAAAAACAACCUGGUUUUUCUGGCAAGGAGUGGGCGUACCGGCCCCCCUCCUGUUCUCGGUGGUAAGGAAUGCCAGCCUUUGCCUGUUGCCAGAUUUACGCGCACUCAAGUGCCAAGUGCAUUACCGGGGUCCAAAAGCAGCUCUCUUCCUGUUGGGAUGACUGCAAAGUCUGGGAGUACGCAUCAGUCAAAGGACAGCCAUGCAUUCGGCCACUGUGGUCCACGCUUAUCAGGUCUUGAUGGGUACAGACAGCCCAAAUUAAACCAUUCCCAGGAGCAAUACAGCAUAGCAGCACAACAGCCUCCGCUGAAAAAUAAAUAUGAAGCAAAUUCCAAACUUAUGCAAAUGGGAGCCUAUAGCAGAAGUGUAACGCCUACUCAGACGGUCAUAUCCAGGCCUAGCACACAGUCCAGCAACAAUAAACAGGUGGAAAAGUAUGUGGUUCCCCAGGGAAGUACUGGUUUUGUCCCUUCAGGUAAGCACUGUAUGUCUGAUUCUGUGAAGGCCAAAUUCAACCCACCACCACAGUAUCAUCCCCUGUGCAAAAGCGAGCAGUACACUAAACACGAAGAGCCAUCGGUGCCUCAGAGGGAGUCUCACAUAAAGGCUGGGAACGAGAUGAGGACAUUGGCAAACUGCACAGCCGUGGCACGAGCAAGUCCUCUGAUGCAGCCUCAGCCCAGCGCAGCAGGAAUUUCUUCGGCUUUACACUCCAGCAAACAGGAUCCAGGAUCAGAUGGGCAUGAGAAACGUUUGGACAUCUUAAAUAUCUUUAAAACAUACAUUCCAAAGGACCUCGCUUCGUUGUACCAAACCUGUGGUGCCAAUAGCCCUGUCCUGGAUCACACAGGGAUGCUUAGGACACAAACACGCCAAGGAGACUGCGUCUGCAGGGAAUGUGGAAAAUGCUUUAACCAACCCAGUCACCUCAGGACUCAUCAGAGGUCCCACACAGUGGUGUUUGAGUCUAAUGGACUCCGAGGUACUGAAGUUCACACCACCUCCGCAGAUGCCCCAAAACAAAAUAUCCCUUCUAUUUUUUCCACGUGGUAAUUAUUCAUGAAAAUUGGCUAAAAAACUAAAAGGAAGAUGACAAGGGGAAGAGAAAGCCUUAGCUUUUGACAGACCUGCACAAGAAUUCAGUUUUCCUUCUCCAAGCGGCCUCUAUGACCUCCAACUUCAGCCCAUUUGAAACUCUGGUCUAGCUCUGAAUCCCUCUUGGCUAGCACAAAAUUCCUCCUUUUGGAGGCCUCCUUCCCUCCAUGUCCUUAACUGUUUCUGCGUUGCUCCAUCAGACGCUAUCACUUGUUCUUCUGGUCCGUCAGAGACCUUGCAGGGGCCCAAACAAGCAAACACACGUGAUACUAAUUCGAGGGGAGAGACCACACCAGCGCCGACGUCGCCCACACGCUGCCUCUCCGGAAGGGAACCUAGAGCCCUGGCGGAGGAGCCUGCACCCCGGCUGCCCUUCGACCGCAUCCCCUGCCCCGUGGGGCAGCCCCCCGCGAUGCCGGCGUUGGAGCAUCCCUGUGAAGCAUCCCCUUGCCUGUCACCACCGUGUAGGAUUGGGAACAGCGCUGCACUCCGCUAGGAGGGGGGUGCCGCCGCGCUGUUAAUCAUUUUAAAAUAAAUGAAGAUGCUCCGUGAGAUAUAUAUAAAUUGACGUACUAAUCAGUCCCAUGGUUCCUUAUUUCCUUUAUAAUAAACAGUGGAGUUGGCAAGCACUGUGGCAGCACAAGGCAUCUAUAUUAAUCAAGAGAAGUUUGAGACACUGGAAAAAUUAAACUUUAUGUGAUUUGGACAGCAUGAAGAAGUUAAGCACUGUAACAAAAACCUCCCUGAUGCUCACAAUGACUAUUUGAUACAUUUGAAAAACAGCAGUGGAUUUGAGGGCUGGAGAAGUAUUAAUUAAUGAAACUGCCACUGCCUGUCAUGCUGAAAAGCAAAUUAAAAAAGAGAGAGAGAGAGAGGAAGAAGGGGGGGUGCGGGGAAAAGGUGGCAUUCGGUGCUGAGAAAGCAAUGCUUGAUGAAGGAUUAAAGGGACUAAAGAGAAAGACCGUCACUCUGCAAUGGUUUGUUUCAUUACAGUUUGGGGACCACUUGCAUUUCUAGUGCUCUUGUUCUUGACUGCGCACCAUUAAUAGUAUGUGAAUAUGGAAAUUGAAACACUUCCACAGAAAAGCUUCUAUUCUGCUUUGGAAAAGAAAAGCUAGUUGAACACUAAGAAAAAACAGGCUUCUGUGUUUUACUCUCAGGACCUUUUUUGUAACAGGGCUACUUUCUUCGACCUGAUCACAAAGGAAGUCUUCAUGUUAAAAAAAUAAAAAUUAAAAAAAAAAAACAACCCAACAAGCGCUCAGCUGUCUAACGCCGCUGAUCUGUAUGUUUCUAAUGGAGAAGGUGGCAUGGAGUACCUCGGCCCUGAUGAAGGCACCGUAGGCUCCUGUGUUUUGUCCAGCAGGCCAGCUACUGGUCCUCCCUGGGCCUGGUGACGCUUCGAGAAGAUGAAUACCUUCUUUUGUGGUGGCAGGUUAAUGUUCAUAUAAUGUGUCAUGUCUUGUAUUUGGUGAUCACUGGUGGUGUUAGGAAAAAAAAAAAAAAAGAAAAAAAAAGCUUUAUAUACCUCUUCUACAGUAACUCUUUAACUGCAAGUUUUCGAGGUGGGGUUGUGGCACAUAACAGGUUGUUAAACCAUGCAGUGUAAGCAAUUAAAAAUGUAUUCCACAGAUAUAAAUAUUUUCUUUUCUUAUUGCUGUGACACUAUGUGUGAUGGUAAUAUUUCUGAGAGUUUCAGAUUUUGCACAUAUAAUUUUAUGCAUUAUCAAAAGUUACUGCUGCCUUGAAAGAAAAUGUUCUGUGAAAAUUUUUGCAAAAGCUUUACUAGUUUUUUUUCUUUUUUUUUUAAAUUGUAACAUUUUGUAAAGGCAGGAAAUGGAUUAAAAAAAAAACUAGCAUGCUAAAUAUAUUUUUCAAAAAAGCAAUAAUUUUACAUGUACAGAAAUGAUGCUAACCUUUAAUACAGGUGAGAGCAACAGUUUACUUAAUACAAUAAUGGAAUAGUGCUGUUUUUGUAGGGCUUCUGACACAAAGAUUUGUUUAAAAAACAAAACAAAACAAAAAAAAGCUUGAUCUUUCUGUUCUAACAGUUCUGGUUGGGGGAGGGUCUUUUUUAAAACAAUCUAGUCAGUAAUUGGUUCUGGAUACUACUUGUUACUUGUUUUUAAUUACUUGACAGUUUUUGUUACUUUGCAACACUUGCAACAAUGCAAAUUAACUUUCUUAUGUAUUUUUUAACUAGUUUUUCCUUAUACUAUUACACCAGAUGUAUACCAGAGUUCUCUGUAAGUCUUGGUGUAGGUAGGAAUGUCUGUGCAAAUGCUUAAAAGUGACUGUAAUUAACUGUUCUGUGAAGUUAUUUCGAGGGAGGUCGCAUAGACACAUUCCAUUGUACACCAAAAAAAAAAAAAAAGAGAAAAAAAAAAAAAGAAAUAUUUUGCUGUGUUGCUUAAUGAUUAUCAUUUUGGGUUUGCACUAGCUUUUUUUUUUUUUUGUUUGUUUGUUCUUGUUUUUUUUGUUGCUUUUCUGGAUCAUAUUCUUCAUGAGUUCAGGAAUGCACAAAGCUAGUUGCUUAGCCUAUUUGUUUGUGUUUUAGUUAUUAAAAACUCUUGUGUACCCAAAAUGGCAUGAAAGUGUAGUGUACAUUUGUAGUCUCUCUUUCUUUUUUUUUUUUUUUAUUUUUAUUUUUUCAAGCUGAUACAGAAGAUCUUAGUUAAUAUUUAGAGCCAAAAGCUUCUUUCUGGAGCUUUUCUUCCAAAUAUCUGACAGAGAAGCUAGUGCUGUCACUGCCAUUACCAGGGUACUAAUCAGCAAAGUUUACAAUCAUAAUUUAGCUACACGAAGAACAACAGUAGGGAAAAUCAGUUUAAAUAAUUAUAUGCUGUGUAUAGCACAGAAAUGAGAUUUUCACUUAAUUAAGCAAGAAAUAAGAGUGGGUGGGAGAAAGCCAACCUUAAAGACCAUCUGUUUUCAGAAAUGAAUCCCAUGAUUUCUUUUUUCUUCUUUAUUGUUGUAUUGUAUUGAUUUGUUAUUUUAGUUAGGCCUUAGUAUUUAAAUUGAGUUGUGUUCCUUAUUUAUUUAGUCAAUGGGCUUUGAUCAGCUCCUUUAAACAACGUGAUAAGUUUUUUUUUUUGGCAUGACACACUCCUGUAAAAGCCCUUUUAUGACUGUUACAGGGACUUUCUACUACCUCUACCAAUCUACUGUUUCUUCUUCUUAACAGGUUUUUAUGGUGUUGCAAGUCUAAUGUAACUUAGACAAUAAAGGGUUUGAUUAUCUACACUGUA